AGUGCACGCUCGGGCUUCCUGGUGCGCCCGGAGCCUGCCUCGCGUGCCGACCCCGCCGCGUAAUCCGGCGAGGCAUCCCAGAUUCCGCCCGGCUCCAGACGCCCUCCACCGACUUUAGUUCGAGCAGGUUUACCUACUGGACAUAGCUGAAGAAAAAAAAGAAUCAGUGCAUUUGAACAUAGUUUAAAUAGAAACUUCCCAAAUUGAAGCACAAAGAGGAAGAAGAAUCUCAAAAACUCAGAACAAUGAAGAACUGUGGACAAUAUCAAAAGGGACUCAUUUGGAAGCAGUGCAUUUUUAUCAGAGGGACUGAAAAGCCUUUCGAGAAUCAGUCAAGAAAAAGGAAUGCGCAUGAGAGUCAUGGUCACAUCAUGUGAUUGUAGGGAAAGCCUAGGCUAUCAUGGAGGGAAGAGAUUGGAUAAAUUAUUUGAAAAGCAAGCCUGUGAAUUGCUGUGGAGGAACAAUAGCCUGUCUCUUAUCUGGAGCCUUUCCAAGGAAAAGCAAAGGGGACCCUAGAAGGCUUCCUGGGAGACAGUUUAAUUCUGAAAACAAAGCAGUACUUCACCUCUUGUGUGUUGGGUAGAGCUGUAAAACAGAACACAGUCAAAAUAGUCAUUAGGGCCACAUCAAUGUCUGCCCAAAGUCAGGCGAGCAUUCCCAGGAAGGUGGGGGGCUGUGGCAGUUGCACACAUCAACCUCCUUUCUCCAUUGUCACACAGCAGAAGAGCGUGUUCCAUUCUACUAAAGUUGGGGCGGGGGGAGUUGAAUAAUUUAUUGACUGAAAACUGGGGGCCUGAGUUAGAUGGUAAAAAAGUUUAGAGUGCUGUUUUUUGUUUUUUAAGUUAUGUUUGUUUUAUAUAUUGAAGUGCUUAAAAUGUAUUUUAAAAAUUCAAAACAUCCCAGAAAUUCAGCAACUUGAGGAGACAAUAGUGACGAACAUUUUAUGGCAACAUUUGGACACUUUAAAGAUUAUUUCAGGAACUUUAAUGCUGAUAAAUGAGAGAAGGGACAACUUUUCCUAACUAUAACAUUUCGGCACCUGAGUACAGGGAUCAAAACAAGAGCAAGCAUUUCAAAUUCAUAUUGUGAAGCACCUACAAAAAGAUUAUUCUGUUAGCCUUCAUAAUGUGGAGAGUUCAUCUUUUCAUCUUAUCAAAUAAAAAUAUACCCAAAUUCUUGAACAGGCAUUCAGUUAGGAAAAGAGGGUGGGGUGAUGAAAUGUGUUCUCAUUCAGCAAACACUUUGCAGAUAUUUCUAGUCAAAGAUCCCUGUG
rnacentral:lncRNA from 1 species